rnacentral:rRNA from 1 species
GCCAGCCACCGUCGCGAUUUGGAGGCCUCCGACCAGAUCUUCCUCCCAACCACGACUUGGGUUGCGCUCCCCCGUCGAGCGAGCCCCACCACGGCUGCUGGCGUGCUGGCCGUCGAGCGAGCCCCACCACGGCGACGAGCCGACGACCACCACCUUCUCCUUCCCCUCCUCCGGCCAGAUCCACCCGGUGCCCCUCCGACGCUUGACGUUCAUAUCCAUACCGAGCAGGCAUUGUGGGCUUGGAAAAUUAGGUUUCCUUUCCCAUGGUCUCACCCGUUCUUCUAUAAAAUCUAUUUCUAUUUUGUUUUGUUCUUGCUGCUCUCCUUUCUUUCCUUAUUAUUUUUGUUUAUGUUUUAAUUCCAGUGCGACUACCUACAGGCCGGUGUGGUGGAACUUGGAUCAUGUAGAACUCCAGCCAUGCAAUUUUGUUGUCGGUGUCAUGGAUUUUUUAUAGUUUGUUUGUUUCUUCCAGCUCUCCUUGCUACCUACAAAUUUCUGUCUGUGUUAUAAAACUCCAGUGCUACUACGAUGGAUCUUCGAUCUCCUAGAAUGCCAUCACUUGCGACCUUUGUUGUCGGUCGUUCGGUGAUAUGGAUUUGUGCUACAAGCCGUUGGCCUCAGAUUUUGUUUUCUGAUCUCACUUCGUAUUCUCGUGUGUGCAUCCCUCCGGCGGCUUCGACGGAAAUUGAUGCAUGUAUGUGCUCUCGCGUGUGCAUAUUCAGAUUCUUGUAUGCCUAGUAUACCUUUCUGUUAGUUGAAGUGAACCGUAGUCACCUAAUUCAAAUGUUAUUGUACUGUGAGGAACUAUUUAUAUUUUGUCUUCAACUAUUGAAGAAAAUGUAUCAGAAGUUCAGAACUGAAGAACUGGAUCAAACUUUUUGUAAAAAUAUGUG